AGGCCUUGUUUAGUUCCAAAAUAUUUUGCAAAAUCGACACUGUAGCAUUUUCGUUUGUAUUUGACAAAUAUUAUCCAAUCAUGGACUAACUAGGCUCAAAAGAUUCGUCUCGUCAAUUUCGACUAAACUGUGUAAUUAAUUUUUAUUUUUGUCUAUAUUUAAUACUUCAUGCAUGUAUCUAAAGAUUCGAUGUGACGGGGAAUCUGAAAAAUUUUGCAAAAUUUUUUGGGAACUAAACAAGGCCUAGGGAACUAAACAAGAUAGCGAAGGAGAACUUUGCUGUUCAUUCGCAGUGCUAGCCACUUCAAACUCACACCUAUAAAUCCUGCCGAGUUUCAUUCUCGCAGUGCUAGCCACUUCAUACUCUUCAUACAUUGUAAUUUUUCACCGUCCGAUCUUGCCCACUGAAUAAAUUAAAUAUGCACAUUAAAUUUCCUUUUACAACCUCUAGAACCCAUGGAAGAGAAAAGAAACAAGAUAUCCUACUAAAAUUACAGCUAGCUAGGACGUACACUAGCUAUCUGCAGCUGCAUCAAUCUCCUCCGAUCCGCGUCCCUCAUUGUAGCCAAUUAAAAGCUGCUGGCUUGCCCGGCGUAGAUCGGUGGCGCAGAUCGAUGAUGAUGAGAUGAAUCCUCGAUGCCUGCUGCCGGCCACCCGCAGCCGAUCGAGUUAAACCAACCAUGGAUCAUAUGUGCCCACGCAUGACCAGCCAUAUCACUGCACGGAUCGGAGUGAUCCGUAGAUAGCAAUAGCGUCAUCGUCGUCGCGGGUGGGAAGGAAAGCGAGGGAAAGCAGCGAGAGCAGCAGCACGACAGGGACGACCAGCAGCAGCGACGGCGGUGGCGGCAGGGAAGAAGGGAGCAGCAGCGGGAGCAGCAGAAGCACCACGGCCGCCGUCGCGAGGAGCAGCAUCGUCACCAUGCUUCGUUCCAUCGCUGGCAAGAGUGGCUAGUUGCUAGAAGAAGAAGAAGAAGAAGAAGAAGAAGAAGCAGCUGUCAAUUGAUGGGCAUGUUGUGUACUGUGCAUGCCCUGAGAGGCUGAGACUAAGAGAUUAGAUUAG
rnacentral:lncRNA from 1 species